UACGUAGGGGGCAAGCGUUGUCCGGAUUGACUGGGCGUAAAGCGCACGCAGGCGGUCGCGCGCGUGGGGUGUGAAAUCUGGCCGCUUAACGGCCAGGCGCCAUCCCAUACGGCACGACUGGAGUGAUGCAGAGGUCGAUGGAAUUGCCGGUGUAGUGGUGAAUGCGUAGAGAUCGGCAGGAACACCAGGGGGAAACCAGCCGACUGGG
rnacentral:rRNA from 1 species